rnacentral:rRNA from 1 species
UAAGGAAUCUUCCACAAUGGACGAAAGUCUGAUGGAGCAACACCGCGUGCAGGAUGACGGUCUUCGGAUUGUAAACUGCUUUUAUAUGGGAAGAUUAUGACGGUACCAUAUGAAUAAGGACCGGCUAACUACGUGCCAGCAGCCGCGGUAAUACGUAGGGUCCAAGCGUUAUCCGGAAUCACUGGGCGUAAAGCGUGCGUAGGUGGCGUGUUAAGUGUGAUGUUAAAUCGCGGGGCUCAACCCUGUCGGUGCAUCGCAUACUGGCGUGCUAGAGGGAAGCAGAGGCAAGUGGAAUUGGUAGUGUAGCAGUGAAAUGCGUAGAUAUUACCAGGAACACCAAUGGCGAAGGCAGCUUGCUGGGCUUCUUCUGACACUGAGGUACGAAAGCGUGGGGAGCGAACAGG